rnacentral:rRNA from 1 species
GCAUAACGCGAAGAACCUUACCAAGGCUUGACAUCCCUUGACCGGCACAGAGAUGUGCCCUCUCCUUCGGAGCAAGGUGACAGGUGGUGCAUGGUUGUCGUCAGCUCGUGUCGUGAGAUGUUGGGUUAAGUCCCGCAACGAGCGCAACCCUUAUCCUUAGUUGCCAGCAUUAAUGGUGGGCACUCUAAGGAGACUGCCGAUGAUAAAUCGGAGGAAGGUGGGGAUGACGUCAAAUCAUCAUGCCCCUUAUGUCUUGGGCUACACACGUGCUACAAUGGUCGGUACAACGGGCAGCGAAGGAGCGAUCCGGAGCGAAUCCCAAUAAACCGAUCCCAGUUCGGAUUGUAGGCUGCAACUCGCCUACAUGAAGUCGGAGUUGCUAGUAAUCGCGAAUCAGAACGUCGCGGUGAAUGCGUUCCCGGGUCUUGUACACACCG